UGCAUUCCUUGGUUUGUAUCCCUGUCCCCCAUCCUCAAAGCCAGCAACGGUGCCUACUUUGAUGACUUGUUACCCUAGUGCCUUUGAUCUCCACUGUAGAAAAUGCUCUGCUCCAUUUCAGAACAGAUUGCCAUGUGCCCCAUUCUCCGGCCUUUGGAGCAAACCAGCGACAGACCUCACAGAUAGAAAUCCACCAUUGGCCAUUCACAAAGAGAGUUCUCCUAGUAAGGGGAGUGAAUGUGAUAAUCCAUAUUUCCUGGAAAAUCUUCCUAGAGGCCUGAGAUGAUAAAUAUUGCCUGUUCCAGAACAGGCUCAUGCACGUCUAGAAAAACACUACAAUUCCAAGACAGUCUUACAGUUAAUGUGUCCAGGUCAACUCUAGCCCAGUUUACCCUCAAGUGCUAUCUAGAAGAUGUCGUUUUACUGGUCCCAGUUUUUCACAUACUUCUCAACCAGUAAGGCCUCACCAGGCAGAGGCUCCCCAUUGACCCUUCACUGCUGGACUCGAUCUUUUCUCAAGCAUGCUUGGUUACAUCUUGGUCUAUGCCAACUAAAUAAGAUGUGUGGGUGUUCAAGGAUGGAAGUAUCCUAUCUUGCAUGGUUAGCUUGGGGAUGGUAUUCAGUCUUCUCCAUGUAAUUCUUAUCUUAGAUAUAGCUGGGAUUUUACACUUCUCAAUACAAUCUCAUCUACAUUAUCUAAUUUGAUUCUUGUACAAACUUGCUGUAAUAUGCUCUUAUUGUAGAUUCAUCAUUUAUCCACCAAACAGAAGUGAGCCAUGCUAAGCUAGAUAUUGAGGACACAGUUUUGAAGAAGUGAUGUUCUCUGCCUUCAAGGAGAUUAUAGGCCAGUGAAGAAUAAAGAUAUGUAAAUGAGCAAUUGUAUUAUAGGGAAAUAACUGCUAUAACAGGGCUCCAUGGGAAAGCAUAAGAGAGAUAACAAUGUUUUGAGACCCAGAAGGCACUGUUGAUGUAAACCACUUGGCCUUUACCAUAUCAGUGCAUGCUGUUCUAUCUUUCAACAACCAGUACCUUUAUCUCUUUACCUAAAAGGGCUUUCUUUGGUCAUCCAGGCUAUUCAUCCCUUGACCAAGGACAGGUAAGCGUUACUGUACAAAUACCCCAGCUCCCUUGCUCCUCAGAUGGGUGACUCUAGGUGCAUGCCCCAUACUGUUUUCUAUACUUUCCCAUUUGGAUCAACCAGUUUCCCACAGUGAUAACACUCAGUUAGCUUCUUGUCCUCCCUAUCUCACUUUGGCACUCUCUGUGUUUCCUGGGAUCACAUUCCAAAUAAACUACUUGAACUCUAAUCCAUAUCUUAAAAUCACCUUCUGGAAGGACCCAAUAAGAGGGGAAAAAAAUCAAUAAAGUAUCUUUUAAAGAUAAAGAAAAGAAUAUAUAUUUCUUUUUAGAAAAUACUCCUUCAUUCUUUAAUCCAUUCAUUCAUUUAAUAAAAUUUGAGUGCUUCCUAUAUACUAGAUGAGAGUUACUGAAUAUCUGGGAUGAAGAAAAUAGACAUAAUUUCUAACUUCAAGGGGGUUGUAGUCUAGUGGCAACAUGCAAAUAAAAAUAAAGAUAUGGGAAGAGUUUUUGAUAUCUUCGAUAAGGAAAACAAAGGAAAGCAGGGUAUUAGGAGUCAUUGUAAAACAAAUGAACCCCUCAUUUUAUAAAUAUGGACACUACAGCUGACAGAGGCUGCCUGACUAGUGUGGGGCAGAGCAGGGACAGGAAUGCAAGACUUUAUAUUCUAAUCCAGUUUUCUUCCUACCACACCAUAUCACAGUAUAGCAUAUCACAGUAUACCAUAUCACAGAGAUACUAUAUCACAGUAUCUCUUAUUCAUUGGAAAGAUAUAAGAGAAGUGAACUAUUCAAGUCUUAUGACUAUUAAUUAUGUCCAGAAAUGUAUGUGAUAAGGUAGUAACCAAUGAUUUUUUAUUUCAAAUGAAGUUUAAGUUAACUAGAGGAAUAAGUGGCGAGGAAAUAAUUUUCUCCACUUCUUAACUGACCCUUAUGGGUCAAAUUCAGCACUCUUAACGUCAGUCUCUUAAAAAAAAAGAAGAAGAAAAAGAAUUCCUAUUUAUGUAGCUUUGGUGGAUUGGGAAAGCACAAGUGGUUCCAAAUGCUCACUACAUUCUAGUUUUUCUCCCUUGAUCUGGACUUGAUAUGUGAUGGGAGGAAUGUUUGGUCAUUUAUCUUGGACCAUGGUUUGGCAGCUGCUUCAUUCCUAGUCUUCAGUAGGUAUUUGCAAGGCAGAAGCCAAAUGGUUGAUUUGGGUCCUAAGCUGUCAUCUGAAUAAGCAAGAGGUAUCUUAAGGUGGUUCAAAUCCAAGUCCAGGCUCUUUAGUGUUAUCCUCCUCAAAAACAGAGCCUGCUCAUACUGCUAGAGCUUCCCUCAUGUUUGUUGCAGUAGUAUCAGGUGAUUCCCAAUAAUUUAUUUACUGCUAAACCAAAUUGAUAGAAGUAAGUUCUGAUUACUGGUCCAACUGAGGCAUUCUGGCAAUUGUCUUUUGGUAUA